AAACCAGCACCUCAAGUGGUCAGGAGGAUUAUUGGGCCUAAAGCAUCCGUAGCCUGUUCUAUAAGUUUCCGGUUAAAUCCAUUAGCUCAACUAAUGGGCUGCCGAAAAUACUGUAGAACUAGGGAGUGGGAGAGGUAGACGGUAUUCGGUAGGAAGGGGUAAAAUCCUUUGAUCUAUUGAUGACCACCUGUGGCGAAGGCGGUCUACCAGAACACGUUCGACGGUGAGGGAUGAAAGCUGGGGGAGCAAACCGGAUUAGAAACCCCGGUAGUCC
rnacentral:rRNA from 1 species